rnacentral:rRNA from 1 species
UACGUAGGGUGCGAGCGUUAAUCGGAAUUACUGGGCGUAAAGCGUGCGCAGGCGGUUUUGUAAGUCUGUCGUGAAAUCCCCGGGCUUAACCUGGGAAUUGCGAUGGAGACUGCAAGGCUAGAAUCUGGCAGAGGGGGGUAGAAUUCCACGUGUAGCAGUGAAAUGCGUAGAGAUGUGGAGGAACACCGAUGGCGAAGGCAGCCCCCUGGGUCAAGACUGACGCUCAUGCACGAAAGCGUGGGGAGCAAACAGG